CCGAUAUGGUGUAAAAAAUAUGAAUGCUUACUUAGGGUAAAUCUACACUGAACCUGGUGUAUAAUUACACUAAGACCAUUUUAAGAUAAACUGAUCUGGUGUAAAGUAGAAACUGAAAUAUUAACGAACACCUAUACUAUGCUGUAAACUUACCCUCAAACUGUGUAAAUUUAGCGAUCUAAUUCUCGUGUAUGAGACGACACCAUGAUAGUGUAAGGUGUAAACCUAUAUCAGUGGUGUAAACAUACAGAAUUCGAAUAGUGUAAAAGUUUGUAUGGGGACCAAAAUAUACUGGCCGGCUUACCCUUCACAUUAGGGCUUUUUGAAAAGUCGGUGUAAAAGUGUAAAGUAUAAACUAUUUUAUAAGACUACCUUUAAACGGUGUAAACUUAAACGGUGCGUUUUGUAAGGUGUGCCAUGCAGACCUCACAUUGUUCAUUUUUUAUUGCAAUCUGUUACCUCCAUAUAUUAAGUUUUCCCAAUCUAAUCUUUUUUUGGUGGCCCCUUACUAGUUACUUCUACUUUAAUUUGGCCAGGCUAUACCCCCCCCCCCUCUCCAAAUAUGCCCUGCUGGCUAUGGUGUACAUUAUAUGUCAUAAAUCCCUCCUUCUCGGUGUUUAUCCUCUACAAAAUAAGACAG